GUAAUGAUGGCCAGGCUGUCUCCACCCGAGACUCAGUGAAAUUGAACUCGCUGUGAAGAUGCAGUGUACCCGCGGCAAGACGGAAAGACCCCGUGAACCUUUACUAUAGCUUGACACUGAACAUUGAGCCUUGAUGUGUAGGAUAGGUGGGAGGCUUUGAAGUGUGGACGCCAGUCUGCAUGGAGCCGGCCUUGAAAUACCACCCUUUAAUGUUUGAUGUUCUAACGUUGGCCCCUGACCGGGGUUGCGGACAGUGUCUGGUGGGUAGUUUGACUGGGGCGGUCUCCUCCUAAAGAGUAACGGAGGAGCACGAAGGUUGGCUAAUCCUGGUCGGACAUCAGGAGGUUAGUGCAAUGGCAUAAGCCAGCUUGACUGCGAGCGUGACGGCGCGAGCAGGUGCGAAAGCAGGUCAUAGUGAUCCGGUGGUUCUGAAUGGAAGGGCCAUCGCUCAACGGAUAAAAGGUACUCCGGGGAUAACAGGCUGAUACCGCCCAAGAGUUCAUAUCGACGGCGGUGUUUGGCACCUCGAUGUCGGCUCAUCACAUCCUGGGGCUGAAGUAGGUCCCAAGGGUAUGGCUGUUCGCCAUUUAAAGUGGUACGCGAGCUGGGUUUAGAACGUCGUGAGACAGUUCGGUCCCUAUCUGCCGUGGGCGCUGGAGAACUGAGGGGGGCUGCUCCUAGUACGAGAGGACCGGAGUGGACGCAUCACUGGUGUUCGGGUUGUCAUGCCAAUGGCACUGCCCGGUAGCUAAAUGCGGAAGAGAUAAGUGCUGAAAGCAUCUAAGCACGAAACUUGCCCCGAGAUGAGUUCUCCCUGACUCCUUGAGAGUCCUGAAGGAACGUUGAAGACGACGACGUUGAUAGGCCGGGUGUGUAAGCGCAGCGAUGCGUUGAGCUAACCGGUACUAAUGAACCGUGAGGCUUAACCUU
rnacentral:rRNA from 1 species